rnacentral:rRNA from 1 species
CUACGGGGCGCUGCAGUGAGGAAUAUUGGUCAAUGGACGAGAGUCUGAACCAGCCAUCCCGCGUGCAGGAUGACGGCCCUAUGGGUUGUAAACUGCUUUUCUAUACCAAGAAACCUGUCUACGUGUAGACAGUUGCCGGUAGUAUAGGAAUAAGCAUCGGCUAACUGCCGUGCCAGCAGCCGCGGUAAUACGGAGGAUGCAAGCGUUAUCCGGAUUCAUUGGGUUUAAAGGGUGCGCAGGUGGGAUAGUAAGUCAGUGGGGAAAGCUUGCCGCUUAACGGUAAAACUGCCAUUGAUACUGCUGUUCUUGAGUAUGGUUGAGGUAGGCGGAAUGUGUUGUGUAGCGGUGAAAUGCAUAGAUAUGACACAGAACGCCGAUUGCGAAGGCAGCUUACUAAGCCAUUACUGACGCUGAGGCACGAAAGCGUGGGGAGCGAACAGGAUUAGAUACCCUGGUAGUC